rnacentral:lncRNA from 1 species
GGAUUAUCAAAGGAACCACAAUAAGUUCAUUAAGGCCAACAGUAUUCCCCAACUCUCUGUGCACAAGAAUUGUUUCCUAAAAAUAACAAGGGCAACGAGCUAAGGAUAUACCAACAUGCUAAAAAUGUUAAUUUACAAAGGCGCAAAAUAUCAAUGAAAAUAUUGCCAUUGCCAUUGCAUUGCAGGCUGAUCUAUUUUUGAGUCCAAAACUAUGUACUUCGCCUUUCUAUCUUGUCCAAACCAGAUGCACCAUAUUUAGUACCCGAAGAAAUUUCAUAAGAAAUGCAGCAAACGAAUUCUCCAGAUAUGAAUAUCAUUGAUCCUGAGAAAAUAAAGAUUAAACUACGCAUACUAGAUAAUUACAUAGGAUUGGGAGAAAUGAAAAACAGAGCAAAAGAGAAGAGAGAGCCUGAAGGAAAGCACGGAAUAACAAUAGGAAAAUUGGAACUAUAUAUUGAAUAGCAACCAUACCUCCAGUUGUUGUGCAGCAUUUGAAUGAAUGCCAAUAUUAGUGGACACUCCCUCUAGAGGAGUAUCAGCGUCAUCUUGACCAUUAGUGUACUUUCCACUCCCGCUUGAAUCUUUUGAAUUACAAAGAGCAUCAUCCUGAAUCUAUAGGAAAAAGCUCAACUUAUUAAAGCAGCAUUCAACAUACAAGAGUUGCUUGAUUAUUCAGUUCCUCCUAAUUAAAAUUCGAAGCAGUGAUUCCUUGGAUGAACUCUUGCUGCACAUUAAGAUCAGCCCAGGAUAAAAGCCUGACUAAGAUGUUUAAAAUACAAGCAUGAUAAUAUUGUAAAACAAACUGCUGAGUCUAUACAACAUUGAUCACAUCUCGUCUAUUACUAUACAGUUAAGGAAGAAAAUAUUGAAUUACUUGCAUCAAUAGGAGAAUCUUAGUUAUCAACCGAACCAAAGCAAUGAUUACAAUACAAUUUAAUUUUUCAUAAGACAUAGAAAAGAGUAGCCUGUUCUUUAUUGAUGUCACACCCUCAUAUUCAUCCUAUAUUAUUUCCUUGAAUUUCUUUUCCAAUUACAUUUCAUUUUUGGCUAACAGUUCCACUAAUGUUCUUCAUUCAACCAACAAAUGUUGCAAAUAUGUUUCUUGUGCAUGACAUAAUUACCUGACAUCAGACUAAUCCAUUUCUAAUUCCGUGAGCUAAAUAGAUGAAAAAGAGUUUAUAUCUACAAAAACCCGUCUAUAUGAAAUUUAAGAAACAAUAAAUAAAAUUUACUGCAAGAUCCACAUCCAAGGUACAACCCUAACUUUCUUUUGAAGACUUCUUACAAAAUCUUGCUCCAUAAUCAUUUAAACAAGAAUUGCUUUCUACAUUUAUGAAAGAAACAAAAUUAAAAAGUACUAAUAUGUUGAAAAUUAUUUUACUGACAUAAUCAGUAAAUCAUCUAAUAUCCUGAAAUUCAUUAUACAAAAUAUGAUCCAAUUACAAUGAAUAAACUCAUUUACUGAAGCUCAAACCUAAUUGAGGGUUUAUAUAACAAAUAAAGAAACCUCAUAUGUAGGAAUGAUGAAAUGAAAGUAUUUUUUUAUAUUUUGUUUGCAAUCAAUUCAAUUGAUUAAUAAAUGAAACAUUAUUAUUCAUGAUUAAUAGUACUUGAAGACAGAAUGAAGAAGAGACUCUCCCCCCAUAGUCACCAACAUUUUCAUCUUUAUCAAUUGUAAUCCUAGGGAUAUUUUCAACUGUCAUACCGUGUCAAAAAUAUUCUGGACCUCUUCAAAUUUGUUGUUUCCACAGCUCCCAUCCGAUUGAAGAAAACGAAAAUCGUUUAGAACAACUAAAAAAUAAAAUUUUGUAAUCCCUAUAUUUUGCGAAUCAAAUAGAAUCACAUUUCACUUUGCACAACACAGCAUAUUCUUUUCCCUCUUUAAGCCCAUAAACUAUGAUUCUCAGAAGAAAUUGGAAACCCAAUUUUUAAUUCAUAAUUUCAUAUUCCUAAGACCCAAACUAAAUCUCAAAUUCAGCAUAAGAGAACAACAACCAAAUCAAGCUAAAAUCCAACUCAACUUUUCCCAAUAAAGUGCAAUCUAAAUUAAAACAUGUACAUUCAAGAAACUAAACAAUUAUACCACUAAACUACAUUAAACCUAAGAUAAAAUACAGCGAAACCCAAAAUCAGCAUAGUAGUUGAACAAGUAGAAACAUAAUAAUACUUCACUAAAAAC